rnacentral:tRNA from 1 species
AUUACCAUAAUAUAUAAGUAUAUUUGAUUUCCAAUCAAAAAGAUUAAAUCAAAUUUUAAUUGUAAUA